rnacentral:ribozyme from 1 species
UCAACAGUGUCCAUCACCACCGAUGUCCUUCGUCGUACGCGCGAUCACGUGGUUAUUGCUGGCGCACAUUUCCGCG